AAUGGGCGAAAGCCUGACGGAGCAACGCCGCGUGAGGGAUGAAGGCCUCUGGGCUGUAAACUUCUUUUAUCAAGGAAGAAGAUCUGACGGUACUUGAUGAAUAAGCCACGGCUAAUUCCGUGCCAGCAGCCGCGGUAAUACGGGAGUGGCAAGCGUUAUCCGGAAUUAUUGGGCGUAAAGCGUCCGCAGGCGGCCCUUCAAGUCUGCUGUUAAAAAGUGGAGCUUAACUCCAUCAUGGCAGUGGAAACUGUUGGGCUUGAGUGUGGUAGGGGCAGAGGGAAUUCCCGGUGUAGCGGUGAAAUGCGUAGAUAUCGGGAAGAACACCAGUGGCGAAGGCGCUCUGCUGGGCCAUCACUGACGCUCAUGGACGAAAGCCAGGGGAGCGAAAGGGAUU
rnacentral:rRNA from 1 species